rnacentral:rRNA from 1 species
AUGAUAGACAAGGCUGCUGGAAGAGUCAAGCCAUGGAAAGGAAGACUUCUGAAUAGAACUGGGCGGCUAACUCUAAUCAACUCAGUCCUCACGGCAAUGGCAACAUUCUUCCUCUCGUGUUUCACAAUGGAUAAAUGGGCUAUCAAGAAGCUUGAUAAGUGCAGGAGGAAUUUUCUUUGGGCUGGGGAUGAGGAAGCAAGGGGAAGCAAAUGCCUUGUAAACUUUAAACAAUGCUGUACCCCCAAAAGUCUCGGAGGCCUCGGGAUCAAAGAGUUAACUUGUUAUAGCCGAGCCUUGAGACUCAGAUGGUGCUGGUUUGAAUGGGACAACAUCGACAGACCUUGGAAAGGCACCCAAAUCCCUUGUGACACAGUUGACAGAAGUCUUUUCGCGGCCUGCACCAAGAUCUCCUUGGGAAAUGGAAAAAAGAUCAACUUUUGGAAGGACAGGUGGAUGCAUGGAAUUGCACCUAUUGCACUGGCACCCGAAGUUGCAAAACUGGCAUGGAAGAAGAAUCUCAAGGUCGCUGAUGCUCUGACAAACAACCUUUGGAUGAAGGGGUUACAUAGGAUGAACAACGAAGAGCAAGUGCAGCAAUUUGUUUCCUUAUGGGAGAAGAUCCAGGAAGUGCAGUUGUCUCAUGACGAUGAUGGCAUCACGUGGAUCCUUAACUCCAAAGGAAUUUACACGGCUAAAGAUGCCUAUGAAGCCCAAUUCUUGGGACGAAUUAGGCAGCCACUCCUAGAGAAAGCAUGGAAAGUGAAGGCUGAAAACAAGAUCAAAUUCUACCUUUGGUUACUGCUCCAGAACCGUAACUGGACCGCGGACAGGUUAUCCACCAGGGGCUGGCCUUGCAACCCGACCUGCCCUUUCUGCGACCAGGCCCCAGAGACAGCAAUUCACAUCCUUCUGGGAUGCCCCUACUCUAAAGAAGUCUGGAACAUGUCUGGGCCCAUCCACCCCCAGAUGACGGACGUGGCCCUCUCCUCCAAUUCCGUCAAAUGUUGGUGGCGCAAGCUGCACCUGAUCGCUCCAAAAGAAAUUGGUAAGGAGCAGAUUGCUUUUGCUGCAUAUGUGGCUUGGCAUCACUGGAAUGAAAGAAACAGGAGGGUGUUCCAAUGCAAAAUGCUACUGCCGCAUCAAGUUUUCAUGCUGGUGACCGAGGAUUUUAGACUCUGCAAAGAGGCAUUCAGAGAGUAG